CUUGCUCGAAUUAUUCUCUUCAUAUAUUUUGCAUUCAUGGUAUCACCUGUAUUGUACUUAAUGUUAAAAUGUACCUUCCAUUUUGGGGGAAAAAAAUAUUAAAGAAAAAUAUCAGACAUGUAUAUCAAUAUCAAUUUAUAAUUAGAAAUUGAAUUGUGCAAUCUUUAGAAAACAAUAAGACCAUAUUGCCCCAUAAGCAAUUUAUCUACGAAGAAAACCAGUAGAAAAUGUGUACUAACUAGUGAUAAAUUUUAAAAAAUUCAUGAGUUUCGUAGUCCACUUUAACUUCUUUGUGCAGCGGAGACUGAGUAGUUGGGAUUACUGCGAUUUAAUCGGCCAUUAUUAAUAAUAUAAUAUAGCUCUUAUUUGAUUCAAAGGAUUCCUUCCACUUUUUGACGUAAAUACUGAAAAGUAUUACUUGGAUCUUUGUCCCCCUAUUAAAUAUUUAACCAAUAGUCGUGUCAUUAAGAACAGCAAUAUAAAAGAAUAUAGUCUUCACACUUUAGAAUUUCUUUAAUAUGAUAAAGCUUUGAUUAGUAAUAGGAUUCUAAUUAUCUGUCUCAGAAAUUCGGCAUCCUAGAGGUAUUGAACAUGCUGACCUAUAUUAUUCCUCAUAAUAUGCUAAUUCUAAAAUGCAUAAAUUAAAGAAAGGAACACAUGAUACAAUGCCUAUGGGAAUUUCGGAAGAGGCUGACACUUUUUUUUUAACUUUAUAGUUCCAUCAUUAUGACGGAGGAGUUAGGCGUGAUUCCAACCUGUAUAUAUAUAUGAAAAAUAAUAAUUACACGGAGGAGGACAUAGGCCUUGGCCUCCAAGACAGUAUGUGUCCACCCCUUUUUACCCCUCAAAAGAUAGAUAUAUGUUGUGUAUUGUGGGUUAAAGAAUUUUUCCAAUUAAUGUGAUAAAUUUGAAAUAGGGAUUAUUUUAUUUAUAGAGUCGCCACUUGGAAUUGAUUUUUGUCGGUGUUCCAAGUCACCUUUUAUUUGAAUCUCUAUUCAAAGGAAGGUUUGACUCUAUUAUUAUUGGUCUGCGAAACAAGUCUGGUAAGGAAUUCUGUUGACCGGGGAGAAGGUGUAAGGCAUUCCCCGAGUCUCGUGGUUCUAGCACGGUCGCUUUAUUGACUUUGGCUUAAAAUAAUUUUGGAUAAACUGUACUUUAUUUGAUUUUUAUGCCCUUUCUAUAUCCGCUUUUACUAAUUAAAAAAAUUAAUAAAAAUAUUUGAAUAAUAUUAAAUUGCCAAAAACGCGCCUACUAGUUGCCUAGCGUUAAAAAAAAAUUAUGAAGAAGUGCUUAAACUUUUUUUUUUUACUAAUACUUAUUCGACAAAAAAAUUCUAUUAAAUAUAUAUAUAUAUAUUAAUGCUGGACAUUAAAUCUAGGUAAGUUAUUGCUAAACUUUCAUGUUGGGUCGCUUAUUUUAUUUAACAAAAGAUAAAUUAUUAAUUUUAAAGAAAAACCAUCUUACUUUCUAUUAUCAUCGGGCCUGAAAAUUUUAGCUUAUUUGACCCAUGUUGCUUUAAAACCUCAAUGACCAAACCAACACAAAAUGACAAAAUAUAGAGUAUUCUUCUAAGCCUAAAUUUCUUCUUCAUGUUAAUGUCCAAACUAAAAUUGUUUUUCCCAAGCGAGACUUACAUGCUAAUUAUUAUAUUUGCUCUUUAUCUCCCUAAUCAAUUAUUUCUUAAGGACUAAUAUAAUAUUUCUAACUAAUUAUACAGGAACCUUAAAAGUAAUUCACAUAAAAGAUCACAAACUAAACAAGCAUGGUUAAAAAUGAAGUAUUUAUCUUUUCCUUAAACUAAGUAAACUUAACAGAAUACAAUUUCAAUCACAUACAUAAAGGAGAAAGGUUAAUUUAACUAAUUUUUAAAAGAUUUACAUGAUAAUAAGACUAAUAUAACAUUUAUCCUGAAGCAAUAAAUAAUCGGAUCUAACAUGUACCGUCAAUUUAGACCGGGAUCAAAUCCUUCUUAUUAUCACAAAGAAUCUGCAAUAUAAGAAUUUGAAAGUUAUCUGAUUUGUAGAAUAAUAAAUUACAGCAGUGCAUCAACAAAAAUGUAGCAGCAAAAUGCAGCAGCAACAACAACAACUCAAAUGUUAAGAACAACCCAAAAAACUCAAUAGAGAUGCUUGAAACUAGUAGCUAUCAACUUCACAAAAUGCCUAAGGGAUCUUUUUUUUUUUUUCCAAAAGUUCUUGCACUCAAAUAAUAAUCACAAAGCUCUUAAAUUUCAGUUGCUAAAGGAUCCUAUAGCUACUGAUUUUUCUCUCUUUUUGUGUGUAUAUCUCUCUGUAAUGUCAGAUAGAGUGUCCUCCUUCUUGAAGGUGGUUUGGGUUAUUGAUAUAGAGAAUAAAAAUAGGAGAGUCCGAAAAAUCCGCGAAGCUACGGUCCAAGAAUUUUUUUUUUAGUUGCUCCAUUCUCUCCUUCUCCUAUUGCCUUUUUUCACCUUUUCAAAC
rnacentral:lncRNA from 1 species